GAGUUUGAUCAUGGCUCAGAUUGAACGCUGGCGGCAGGCCUAACACAUGCAAGUCGAACGGUAACAGGAAACAGCUUGCUGUUUCGCUGACGAGUGGCGGACGGGUGAGUAAUGUCUGGGAAACUGCCUGAUGGAGGGGGAUAACUACUGGAAACGGUAGCUAAUACCGCAUAACGUCGCAAGACCAAAGAGGGGGACCUUCGGGCCUCUUGCCAUCAGAUGUGCCCAGAUGGGAUUAGCUAGUAGGUGGGGUAACGGCUCACCUAGGCGACGAUCCCUAGCUGGUCUGAGAGGAUGACCAGCCACACUGGAACUGAGACACGGUCCAGACUCCUACGGGAGGCAGCAGUGGGGAAUAUUGCACAAUGGGCGCAAGCCUGAUGCAGCCAUGCCGCGUGUAUGAAGAAGGCCUUCGGGUUGUAAAGUACUUUCAGCGGGGAGGAAGGGAGUAAAGUUAAUACCUUUGCUCAUUGACGUUACCCGCAGAAGAGGCACCGGCUAACUCCGUGCCAGCAGCCGCGGUAAUACGGAGGGUGCAAGCGUUAAUCGGAAUUACUGGGCGUAAAGCGCACGCAGGCGGUUUGUUAAGUCAGAUGUGAAAUCCCCGGGCUCAACCUGGGAACUGCAUCUGAUACUGGCAAGCUUGAGUCUCGUAGAGGGGGGUAGAAUUCCAGGUGUAGCGGUGAAAUGCGUAGAGAUCUGGAGGAAUACCGGUGGCGAAGGCGGCCCCCUGGACGAAGACUGACGCUCAGGUGCGAAAGCGUGGGGAGCAAACAGGAUUAGGUACCCUGGUAGUCCACGCCGUAAACGAUGUCGACUUGGAGGUUGUGCCCUUGAGGCGUGGCUUCCGGAGCUAACGCGUUAAGUCGACCGCCUGGGGAGUACGGCCGCAAGGUUAAAACUCAAAUGAAUUGACGGGGGCCCGCACAAGCGGUGGAGCAUGUGGUUUAAUUCGAUGCAACGCGAAGAACCUUACCUGGUCUUGACAUCCACGGAAGUUUUCAGAGAUGAGAAUGUGCCUUCGGGAACCGUGAGACAGGUGCUGCAUGGCUGUCGUCAGCUCGUGUUGUGAAAUGUUGGGUUAAGUCCCGCAACGAGCGCAACCCUUAUCCUUUGUUGCCAGCGGUCCGGCCGGGAACUCAAAGGAGACUGCCAGUGAUAAACUGGAGGAAGGUGGGGAUGACGUCAAGUCAUCAUGGCCCUUACGACCAGGGCUACACACGUGCUACAAUGGCGCAUACAAAGAGAAGCGACCUCGCGAGAGCAAGCGGACCUCAUAAAGUGCGUCGUAGUCCGGAUUGGAGUCUGCAACUCGACUCCAUGAAGUCGGAAUCGCUAGUAAUCGUGGAUCAGAAUGCCACGGUGAAUACGUUCCCGGGCCUUGUACACACCGCCCGUCACACCAUGGGAGUGGGUUGCAAAAGAAGUAGGUAGCUUAACCUUCGGGAGGGCGCUUACCACUUUGUGAUUCAUGACUGGGGUGAAGUCGGAACAAGGUAACCGUAGGGGAACCUGCGGUUG
rnacentral:rRNA from 1 species